CUCCACUCCUAGAAAUACCAGGUUUGAACCAAGGGCCUCACACAUGCUCAGAAAGCAGUUUAUCCGAGCUUCCCGUAGCCCCCAGCUCUACACUGGCCCCUGUGCUGAUGCCCAGGACUGUGUCGCUCAGCGCUCAGAUCUUGCCAGGGUAGGGCUGUUCCAGGGGCAAGGAGGCCUGCAUUUGCUACAGCAUGCUCCCACCCCCACCCCCGGCCAGUAAUUAAUGUGUCCUGUUCCCCAAGCCAAGUGCUGGGGCGCUCAGUCUUGAGCCUCCCGCAGGCCUGGAAGGAGGACCCUGCGGACUGUCUGCCUGUUGCUGGCGGUUGUGGGCGGCAACUCUGGACCAGCACCCAAGCAAAGGUGGAAAGGGGGGCUGUGCACCAUUCGCUGCUGUGAAGGGAACAGCCCAGGGACUGGGAGCUGCCCAGUUGCCUUUGGGAAGCUUCCAUUUGCUGGGGAGAGUGGUCACCAGUUUCUGUAGAGACCAGGUCACGUGAUGGGGUUCUGAGGAAGAGACAGUUGCUUGCCAGGAGUGCACGAGGAGCUGACUGGGGACACAGAGAAGGACUGCCAAGCACAUACUGUCUUCUCCUGCACUGAAAGCUGUCAUCAGUCAGGGGACCAGAUGGAAAGAUGAGGUCUGGGGUUUAUGAAUAGAGGACAGGAAAGUUUCUGACCUUCAGUACCCGAUGCUUCUGGAACUCCUUCUAAGCCGUUACGAGGUGCACCCGUGGCUUGGAGAGUGACGAUGGCCUUGCUGAACCAGGCAGGCCUGUUGUUUUAUGGACACUGUCUAAUGUUGCAGCAGCCAGUGUUUGCUUCUCUCAGACAAUGCAUAGCCAUCCUGACACUGCUUGCCUGUGUUGCUGUCAGAGUUGCCUUUCUGGUGACUUUAAACACACUGUAAUGAAUGUCUAAGGAACAAAGCAGUAGUUACUUUGAGAGGAGAGACUCACUGUAAACACAGCCUCAGUGUCCCCAGGAGAACAUGACUGGUAAGAUAUGAGGUCUUGUCAAGAAAUCGCACUUUUAAAAGCCAUGCCAGUGAUCUUGGGUACUGGCCACUUUUUCGGUGCCUUUCUGGUCCCUGGAGAAUUCUAAUGUGAUAGAUGGGGCUCUUGUGUUGGAGAUGAGGCAGGGUUAGCUUCUGGGUAGAGUAGCAAGGCCCAGAACUGGCGGUGAAGUCAACUCAUAGGCCAGGGCCUUCUGCUGGUCAGUGUGAAGCAGCCCAUCCUUUGUCCUCAGUGGAGACUCCCUUCCUCUCUCCCACUUUUCUCAAAGUCCUCACUGACAAAAUGGGGCAAAAGGGAAGAUAACAAAAUGAGCUACAGGUGUGUAGUGUGCGUUGGAUUAGUGUUCUCAUGUGUCAUCUGGGGAAAGGCCCUGGAAGACAUGAACCUUGACAUUGAAGGGAUUGCUUACUGUUUAUUAAUUACAAAACUGGAGUGCAAAUAAAGGAUAAGAACCUGAGACAGUUACCAGGGCAGUGAUGCACCCACCACAUCACCUUCUGGUUCCCAAGAAGGACCGGAUAACCUCCCAGCCCUACCUACUCAACUUAGGGCCACUCUUUCCCUCAUCCUGGGUCCUCCAAGGACUUGUUGAUCCACUCUGACCAGCUGAAUGUGAAAUCUGCCCCUCAAACCAAAUGCCUGAUUCAAUUGGAUAAUGGACCAAGACAAUCACAGAAUUCCUGUAACAUGCCAUCUCUUUUAAAGACAGGUGUUUUCAGCAUUUCCCCAAAGUCUCAAUGAUGCUGUGUCUUCAACAGGAUGACCUAAGUGAAGCACUAGGGGCUACUCAGAGCAUCAGACCCUUCAACUCCCUUUCAAAUGCCAUCAUAGAGUAGGAACAAACUGCAACAUGCCAUUUUCAUUGCAAAACUGGACAUCUUGAUCUUAAGUGAGGGACAUUAGGCCAUGGGUAGCUUGACUACUUGCAAGUAAUAGCCCUGGUUUCAUUCUUGUUCUCAAUAGGUAUCCUGUCUCCUGAGAGAACUUGCAGUGGAAUGCUACUUUUCCCACUUUUUACAUCCUUCGGGGUCCUGUAUUCACACUACACACAGAUCUCUGACCAUUAUGAGUUGAGUGGAUGAGCUGGAACUUAAACAAUGGCUUUCAGAAGCAUAAAUAUCCUUGAAAG